rnacentral:rRNA from 1 species
UACGGGGGGAGCAAGCGUUGUUCGGAUUUACUGGGCGUAAAGGGCGGGUAGGCGGCCACCGCAAGUCAGUUGUGAAAUCUCUGGGCUUAACCCAGAAAGGUCAACUGAUACUGCGGGGCUAGAGUGCAGAAGGGGCAACUGGAAUUCUCGGUGUAGCGGUGAAAUGCGUAGAUAUCGAGAGGAACACCUGCGGCGAAGGCGGGUUGCUGGGCUGACACUGACGCUGGAACUGCGAAAGCUAGGGGAGCGAACGGG